GUGCUCGCUUCGGCGGCACGAAUACUAAAAUUGGAACGAUACAGAGAAGAUUAGCAUGGCCCCUGUGCAAGGAUGACACGUGAAUUUGUGAAGCGUUCCAUAUUUUU
rfam:Tupaia chinensis contig88905, whole genome shotgun sequence.